rnacentral:misc_RNA from 1 species
GAUGAAGAACUUAGCGAAAUGCGAUAAGUAAUGUGAAUUGCAGAAUUCAGUGAAUCAUCGAAUCUUUGAACGCACAUUGCGCCCCUUGGUAUUCCGGGGGGCAUGCCUGUUCGAGCGUCAUUAUAACCCCUCAAGCUCAGCUUGGUGUUGGGGCCUGCCGACUGGCAGCCCUUAAAAUCAGUGGCGGCGCCAUCUGGCUCUAAGCGUAGUAAUUUCUCUCGCUAUAGAGUCCCGGUGGAUGCUUGCCAGCAACCCCCAACUUUCUAUGGUUGACCUCGGAUCAGGUAGGGAUACCCGCUGAACUUAAGCAUAUCAAUAAGCGGAGGA